rnacentral:rRNA from 1 species
UACGGGGGGGGCAAGCGUUGUUCGGAAUUAUUGGGCGUAAAGGGCGCGUAGGCGGCCAUGCGUGUCUUUCGUGAAAUCCCUCGGCUUAACUGAGGACGUGCGGAAGAAACUGCAAGGCUUGAGUCCGGGAGAGGGGGGUGGAAUUCCCAGUGUAGCGGUGAAAUGCGUAGAUAUUGGGAGGAACACCGGUGGCGAAGGCGGCGACCUGGUCCGUGACUGACGCUGAGGCGCGAAAGCGUGG